rnacentral:rRNA from 1 species
ACGAACGCUGGCGGCGCGCCUAACACCUGCAAGUCGAACGGAGCUGAGAGAAGCUUGCUUUUCUUAGCUUAGUGGCGAACGGGUGAGUAACGCGUGAGUAACCUGCUCUGGAGUGGGGGACAACAGUUGGAAACGACUGCUAAUACCGCAUAAGCCCACGAUCCGGCAUCGGAUUGAGGGAAAAGGAUUUAUUCGCUUCAGGAUGGACUCGCGUCCAAUUAGCUAGUUGGUGAGGUAACGGCCCACCAAGGCGACGAUUGGUAGCCGGACUGAGAGGUUGAACGGCCACAUUGGGACUGAGACACGGCCCAGACUCCUACGGGAGGCAGCAGUGGGGGAUAUUGCACAAUGGGGGAAACCCUGAUGCAGCGACGCCGCGUGGAGGAAGAAGGUUUUCGGAUUGUAAACUCCUGUCGUUAGGGACGAUAAUGACGGUACCUAACAAGAAAGCACCGGCUAACUACGUG